GCGCCCAUAGCUCAAUGGAUAGAGCGCCGGACUUCGAAUCCGUAGGUUGGGCGUUCGACCCGCCCUGGGCGCG
rnacentral:tRNA from 1 species